rnacentral:rRNA from 1 species
UACGAGGGGGGGCAAGCGUUGUUCGGAAUUAUUGGGCGUAAAGGGCGCGUAGGCGGUUUGACAAGUCUGAUGUGAAAUCUCUGGGCUCAACCCAGAGUCUGCAUUAGAAACUGUCGGGCUUGAGUAUGGGAGAGGUGAGUGGAAUUUCCGGUGUAGCGGUGAAAUGCGUAGAUAUCGGAAGGAACACCUGUGGCGAAAGCGGCUCACUGGACCAUAACUGACGCUGAGGCGCGAAAGCUAGGGGAGCAAACAGG